CGCAUCCACAGUGGCGCACGAGAAUACGAGACGCUGCCGCGUCACACGCAAACAACGGCGGUGGACCCGGCUGCUCAGCGUGGGGACGGGCCGGCGGGCUGCUGCGCCCACGUGGUUGUCUUUUUUUUUUGGAACAAGGCCCACGUGGUUGUCGGGAUGAACGAGUGAAGGCUAGGUGGCUCCAAAGAGGAAUGAGUUGAGUGUCCGUGUGGCCUUGGGCAAAUAUCGGAGAAAUAGCCGGAUCUGUCACCAGCUGCGUGCCAUUAGUCGGCUGGCUGGUGCGCCGUGUGCCUGCGUGUCGUGCCCUCCGCGGUCGAUCCACGUUUCCUUUUUCGAGCCAUCAUUUCCUUGAGCGUCACUGCUGCUAUACUUCGUUCUGUACAAUUAAGCCCCGCGAGAUGCAAAUGUCUCUUCGUUUGGCAUGCUGCUCAAAGCACCCGUCAGUUACGCCCCUCCAUUUUUUGAUGUUUUUUUUUUGCCACGAACUCCAUUUUUUUUAUGUUGCACUCACACUAUUCACGACCGAUAUGGUAUCUUUGUCAGUAAAUGUGUGGAUUGGCUUCAUAAUUCUUAAAAUUAUGGACAGAGUGAGUACAUUAGAUGCCAAUUCUCUCCGACUUUUUCUUGACCUUUUGGUACGUACAUUUUCAUUUCUUCAAAGCUGAAAGCUGCGCGGUCGGUCGACACUGGACACGGAAAUCAAAGCAAGCCU
rnacentral:lncRNA from 1 species